AGGAACAACUGCCUGUGAGCCUUGAACAAGCUACUUCCAUUUUCUGGCUCUUUAGUCUCCUCAUUUGUAAAAUGAGGGGGCUGGAGUAAGUAAGCUCUAUAAGGCUCUCAGCUGUGACAUCUAUGCAUAAUCACAGAAGAUCGAAGUGUACAGAACACCAUGGAAACUGAAGAGAGAUUCUGAAAGGAGGCUUUAAGAGGUCACUUGCAUCCAAUGCUGCAGAAGUGUCAGAGACUGAGGACUUAAAUGAAGCCACUGAUUAGCAAUUUAAAGAUCCUCUCCAAGGUAAGGACCCCUCCCUCUCAAGCCACUACUUUUCUAUGACCUUUCUCCUACCAUCUCUAAAUGUGAACAUUCUGUAAAAUUCCGUUCUCUGGCUGGGCGCCGUGGCUCACGCCUGUAAUCCUAGCAGUUUGGGAGGCCGAGGCGAGCGGAGCACCUGAGGUCGGGAGUUUAAGAUCAGCCUGACCAACAUGGAGAAACCCCAUCUCCACUAAAAAUACAAAAUUAGCCGGGCGUGGUGGCGCAUGCCUGCAAUUCCAGCUACUUGGGAGGCUGAGGCAGGAGAACCACUUGAACCGGGGAGGUGGAGGUUGCUGUGAGCUGAGAUCGUACCAUUGCACUCCAGCCUGGGCAACAAGAGCAAAACUCUGUCUCAAAAAAAAAAAAAUUUCGUUCUCUGCCCUCCAGGGAGACUUAGCCACACUCCCAUAGCAACUGUUAUCUCUACAAGGUAGAUCAGAAAUCUCUGGUUCAUACCUUCCUUUCGCA
rnacentral:lncRNA from 1 species